rnacentral:rRNA from 1 species
GACGAACGCUGGCGGCGCGCUUAACACAUGCAAGUCGAACGGGAAGGCCUGCUUUCCCUUGUGGAUUGCGGGUACUCGAGUGGCGAACGGGUGAGUAACACGUGAGUGAUCUGCCCCCAACUUGGGUAUAAGCCUGGGAAACUGGGUCUAAUUCCCGAUAGGACUGCAGGGUGGUGCCUGUGGUGGAAAACGAUUUUCUAGUGGUUGGGGAUGAGCUCGCGGCCUAUCAGCUUGUUGGUGGGGUAAUGGCCUACCAAGGCGGCGACGGGUAGCCGGCCUGGGAGGGUGGACGGCCACAUUGGGACUGAGAUACGGCCCAGACUCCUACGGGAGGCAGCAGUGGGGAAUAUGGCACAAUGGGCGGAAGCCUGAUGCAGCGACGCCGCGUGGGGGAUGACGGCCUUCGGGUUGUAAACUCCUUUCGACCGCGAGGAAGCCACCUGGUUGGAAGGGUGGUGACGGUAGUGGUAGAGGAAGCACCGGCUAACUACGUG